rnacentral:rRNA from 1 species
GUGGGGAAUAUUGGACAAUGGGCGAAAGCCUGAUCCAGCAAUGCCGCGUGAGUGAUGAAGGCCUUAGGGUUGUAAAGCUCUUUUACCCGGGAUGAUAAUGACAGUACCGGGAGAAUAAGCUCCGGCUAACUCCGUGCCAGCAGCCGCGGUAAUACGGAGGGAGCUAGCGUUGUUCGGAAUUACUGGGCGUAAAGCGCACGUAGGCGGCUUUGUAAGUUAGAGGUGAAAGCCUGGAGCUUAACUCCAGAACUGCCUUUAAGGCUGCAUCGCGUGAAUCCAGGAGAGGUGAGUGGAAUUCCGAGUGUAGAGGUGAAAUUCGUAGAUAUUCGGAAGAACACCAGUGGCGAAGGCGACUCACUGGCCCGUUACUGACGCUGAGGCGCGAAAGCGUGGGGAGCAAACAGGAUUAGAUACCCGAGUAGUCC